rnacentral:misc_RNA from 1 species
AAAGUCGUAACAAGGUCAUCGUAGGUGAACCUGCGGUGGGAUCAUUAAAUAAAAUUAAUGUGGGCGUAGAUUGAUUAGGGUUUAUCUUAUUUAUAAGAGACAUUCUAGUUGAACUGCGCUCUGCUUGUGUGAACCGAGUGAGCUGAAUUGAAAUAAUUUAUUUUGAUCAGCGCGAGAGCAGUAUAUAUUGGUGGGUGAAAUGAAAGAUGUUUAUUAUCUCUCUUUACCCGCCACUGUUCUCUCUUAUUAUAAACAAUAACAACUAAAUCUAAACAAAAUAUCAAAGAGACCUAAACAGUCUCUACAAUUAAAUUACAACUAUCCGUGGUGGAUCACUUGGCUCUU